GGUGCAACAUAAAAUGUCUCCUGCUCUGUCUUGCUGGAAAGUUGAGAGGAAGUUUGCCAUCUAUAGUAUUUAAUGUACUUCCUGUAAAUGUGUAGGAAAUGCCUGUUUGAAGUUCUGAAGCAAACUACCUUGAUGUUUACAGAGAUGAGAUAAACUACUUGAUGAAAGAACAUAUUCAAGAAAGGAUCCUAUGAGAGGAAGGCAGCCUGUUUAUUUACAUGAAGAUCAAAGAAAUUUCACAUGAAUUGAGACAACGUAUUUUUUUCCCCUCAGUGAUUUGCAAAGAAUAAUCUACGUGGCUGAAAGAGAAAAGUGUUUUCCCUGGACAAGAAACCAAUCAAAAUCCCGGAGGAGCUGCUCCCAGUUGGGGUGAAGUUACCAUGAAGCAGGCGAAUCCAAGCAUCACAGGAGGUUACCUGAGCCGCAAGCUCUGGAAAGCUAUGAUGGUUAAGAAGCUCUUGUAAUUGAAGAUCCUGCUUUCUGUGUUACGGGAAAGAGCUUCUGUCAAAGAGCCACCCUUCCGCACAGGAGCUGAAGGCGACCUGCUGUCCCGCACUUCCUUGUGACUCGCGACUCCUGUCCGAUUCCCAGAGGGCUCCCCUGCUGACUUGUAACAAGGCAAACAGAUCUCUCCCCUUUUUGCUGACAAAGCCAGACACAGACCCUCGUGCUUCCCGUUCCAUGUCUCAUGAAUGGUUAGCUGAGAUCAGAAGUGUUUGUCCCUUUUGAAACUAGCUUGGAGCUGGGAUAAACAUUUCCAUUUUAGCUAACUGACUGAGAUUUCCCUGGUUGCGUGACAAUCACACCUGCAAAUCACCCCACUUGGAACUUGUCCACUGUCCUUGUAAAAGUCUAAGGCAGAACUGCAUCGCUCAGACACUGAUGUUUGGAUCUCCCUGUUGCAAUAGACCGAAUAAAAUCAGCCUCCUUACUUGUUUGGUUUUUAUCUUUGACCCUGCCUUCCUUUCUCUUUCCUUUCCUCCCUCUGCUUCUCUUUUUCCUUUCUCUUUACUUUAUACUAGAUCCACAGGAUUUUUCCGAUUUUAUCAAGGUGAGGCUUGAAACCCUGAGAUGACACUUCCCUUGCCCUGCUAAGUAGUAAGAAUGAUGAGGAGCAGAUGGGCAUGUGUCUACCAAGAUGAGAAAAGAAAAGAUUAAUUGCAUACUGAAAAGAUAAUGCUACUGAGCUGAACAGCAUUUUAAGGACCACGUAGCACUCAGUUACGAUA